GAUGAACGCUGGCGGCGUGCCUAAUACAUGCAAGUCGAGCGAACGGACGAGAAGCUUGCUUCUCUGAUGUUAGCGGCGGACGGGUGAGUAACACGUGGAUAACCUACCUAUAAGACUGGGAUAACUUCGGGAAACCGGAGCUAAUACCGGAUGAUAUUUUGAACCGCAUGGUUCAAAAGUGAAAGACGGUCUUGCUGUCACUUAUAGAUGGAUCCGCGCUGCAUUAGCUAGUUGGUAAGGUAAUGGCUUACCAAGGCAACGAUGCAUAGCCGACCUGAGAGGGUGAUCGGCCACACUGGAACUGAGGCACGGUCCAGACUCCUACGGGAGGCAGCAGUAGGGAAUCUUCCGCAAUGGGCGAAAGCCUGACGGAGCAACGCCGCGUGAGUGAUGAAGGUCUUCGGAUCGUAAAACUCUGUUAUUAGGGAAGAACAUAUGUGUAAGUAACUGUGCACAUCUUGACGGUACCUAAUCAGAAAGCCACGGCUAACUACGUG
rnacentral:rRNA from 1 species